CCAGGCCUCCCCAAAGGCAAUCUUUCUGGGCUCCAAAGCAGAGGAGCCAGGACUCUGCCGUCUUAGGGUCCCCUCCUACAUGCUCUAGUCUCCCAGUUCCUGUCUAUUCCCUGGACCUCUUUAGCCCUUCGGUACCCACCUUGGUUCCUGGGUCCUCUACUUUUGACCGUUCAACCCCUGGCAUCUCCUGGUGCCCCCCUCCCUCCAGCUGCAUCGUGGGAGCUGAGCAGAGGCAAACUGAGUUGUUUAAGAUCCAUUUGUUAUUGAGAGACAUAAAACAGUCAAGGACGGGGAUAGCUCAGUGAUAGUGUGCUUGCCAAGCUUGCUCAAGGCUCUGGGUCCAAAUCCCAGCACAGAAAGGAAGGAAGGAAAACAGUCAACUAAAACUUCAAAUCACCCUACAAAUCUGUGAAGCCAAACCAUCUGUUGUGGAUUGAAUAGAUAAGGUGAAAUCCUACCCCCUCCAUUCCUGGGAAUGCAGCCUUUUCUUGGAGGUAGUUUUUGGAGAUGUGAUCAAAUAAGGAUGAGGCUAUUUAGGUGGGUCUUAAACCAAUGUCCAGUGUCCCUAUGAGAUGCAGAGACACAGACACAAUGGGAGGACAUUUCUGUUGUGAGACAACCGUCUGGUGUGGCCACAGCAGCUCUAGGAAUUGAAUACACUACUCAAUAGGAGGAAAAAAAAAACUUCGUGGCAAACUUUCUAGCCUGACCAUUUGGUCAGAUUAGAAAGAAUUUGACAAUUUGGUCAGAUUAGAAAAGAUUCUGAAAACUACAAUGUGGCAAAAAAAGAAAAGGUGUUCUGGAAACUUCUACACAAUGGGGAUAAUUCAAGAUGAAAUGCUGAGAUUUUGCUUAUAUUCAUAAAGUAUAUGCACCAAUGCCUUUUAAAACUAGGCAUAUCAAGAUUGAAGAGCUCUAUUUCCACAAAUUGAUACAAAUAUCACUACAAAUAUGUUCAAAAGGAAUGUUUUCAUAAUAUUAAUAUACUGAAAAUAUUUAGGAAUAUUAAAGUUUGUGGUAAAUUGGCAAGCCUGGCAAAUUUAGCAGACUAAUAACUUAGGAAAUGAAUCCUGUAAAUCACGGUGACUUGCUAAGUGGGAACAAAUCUCCAGGAAUGUCCCCACAGAAGGCAUGUUCCAGCUAUACCUCAGCAGCCGGGAGGGGGCUCCAGAGCCAAAUCUCCGAGUGACUACAGCAUGGCAAUGGAGGUGGUGGCACUUGGGACAAUUUGGGGACCAGUAUGUUAGUUCAGUGGGGUACAGGAAUGAAGUCUGAUGUAGGAGACUUUAGAACAGAAAACCCACCUCAAAAACCCUCCAGUAAGGAGCCGAGGGGCGUUCAGGUUUGGUUGGAUGCUGUGAUCCAACUUUCCCCAUUUCCUUUGCUUUCACCUAAAGCUGGCUUCCCCUUUGGGCCUUAAGGAGAGAACAGAGGUGCCUUCCCAAUUCCUCCCUGCUAUUGGCCCAUAUCAGAG
rnacentral:lncRNA from 1 species